rnacentral:tRNA from 1 species
AGUGGUAUAGAUCAGUGGUAGAGUGCUUAUCUUGCAUACACAAGACCCUGGAUUCUAUCCCCACUAUCACAA